CACAUGCAAGUCGAGCGAGACCUUCGGGUCUAGCGGCGGACGGGUUAGUAACGCGUGGGAACGUACCCUUCUCUAAGGAAUAGCCACUGGAAACGGUGAGUAAUACCUUAUACGCCCUUCGGGGGAAAGAUUUAUCGGAGAAGGAUCGGCCCGCGUAAGAUUAGAUAGUUGGUGGGGUAAUGGCCUACCAAGUCUACGAUCUUUAGCUGGUUUUAGAGGAUGAUCAGCAACACUGGGACUGAGACACGGCCCAG
rnacentral:rRNA from 1 species